UGCACUCCUUGCUCCUCCUGUUCUCUUCUGCCUCCGUCAUAUGGGGAUGUCCAUAGAAAGGGGUCCUGGAGCUGGGGAUGAAUAGGUUUUCUUGCUUGAUAUGGCAAUCUUUCAGAAUUUGAUCUCAGCAAAGGUAAAGUAUGUCAAUAAAGAUCAUCACUUCUAGCUAAAUGACAUAUAUCUUCUGCCAUUCUGUAGUGUACAGAGCCAGCAAAAUGACAGGGUGUUGCUGAGAAAGGACUCUUCUCGCCACUUCACUGAAAGCCGAUGAAUCAGCGCUUGUGCACAUUCAGACCCUAUGGUCUCACCAAUUUCCUCGGUUAACAAAUCCUUCAGAUCAGUUUUUCUAAAAAAAAACUGCUGUAAAUGGUGAAAUUUUGGGGAAACAGGUCUCCCCCGCUUUUCGAAUGUUUGCUUUUCGCCAAUUCGCUUUUACAAAAGACCAGCAUUAGUAUUUGGUUUCGCUAUCUGAAAGAAGAUUUUCACUUCCAUGAGAAAGCGCGUGCAGCGAGAGUAGCGCCGAUAAACGCCUUCCCUGGAAGUGUUAAUAGAUGACCCCCUUCCUCUCUCUCCUAUAUCCCAGUCUCCUGUACCUCCCAAUACCCCAACCUCUGGCAACUCAGCCGAACAUACCAUCAACACCACCACCACCUCACAACCCUCCAGUGUGUUUGCUGUCUUCACGAUUCUGGAGGAAGAAAAGAACUACAAAGCGUUGUUCAAACUCUAUAAUGAAGAAAAAAGCCAUCAGUUGUCCCGAACCCAUUCCUGUAGCCCACUUCAAUGAGCACUGAACCUCAUGCAAAUUUGCAAGGCAGAUUGAGUAACAGAUAUACUGACAAAAAGGCUCUUCAGUUGUCUGCAGGAGCCAGUGCCAGACAACAAUGCAGCACCCGGAGGAGGCCACAUCCUCUGAAAAAGCAUGAUAACCAGGUUCACAUGUACCUUGUGAGGCUCUCAGAGGCAGGUCUUUGGAGGCAUGGUUAAACUGGACUUUUCUGGAGCAGCAGGAGAACAUUUAUGAGAUUUUGUCAGCAUUUUCAGUCACACUGCCCGUAACUGGGAAGAGACUGAAGGAGUUUGUUUCCAAUUGUGAGCACCAUGAUAUCUCAUGUCUUUGUAUCUUUUACAAAUCUAGCUAGAAUGGCCACCUGUAAGCAAUAUCACAUUCUGAGUCCUGUCCCAAUUGUGUCUUGCCCCUGUGUAGAACAGUGCCAAUGCCACCAGGCCUAUUCAAGUUUCACAACAAACUGGGUGUCAGUCAAGCGAAGAAUUGGUGUGGCUGAUGGAUUCCCAACCUCAGAAUGAUGCCUGAAUCAUCUAGCCUAGAUGCCAUUGGCAGCUAAGUGGACUGUCAGAGGUGCCCUUCAUAUCAGGUUCCUCAUCUUGUUGCUCCUUUUCUGAAGAUGCAGACCAGUCGUCACCUCCUGUACUCCCAAUCCUAUCUACUUCACCAUGGGAGGGCACUAUCAUUCUGGUUACCCCUUGUUAUGUCUUCAGAUUUCCAUAAGUUUUUGAAAAAAGAUCAUACAUUUAGACUUAGAAUGCUGGGGCUUCAUCAAAUGUGUCCUUGCUGCUCUCCAAAUGGUGGAAUGAUGCAUUGCUCUCAGCCCUUAACUGAAGAACAGUAGUAAAUAUGGCUCUCUGUAUGUCCAUCCACUUAACAAUUAUGCUUUUAAUAAUGUGACGAUAUAGCAUCCAUCUUUUUUAAUGAAAAGUGUCUCUACAUUGA